CUUUUUUAUCUCCAUUAAUUGUUAAGUUUCAUAUAUAGUGCCAGCACUUCAAUUAAUUUGGUUGUGAAAAUUUUUCCUAGUAUGUUCUUGCUUUAUUCUUUUGCUCACUAGAAAUGAUCUGGCUUCUGUUGUCUUCCAUAGGUUCAACGAGUUAAUACUUAUGGCAUGCAGCGUGCUCAUCUGCAGAUGGACGACAGACAAUCAAAAACAGCUUUAGAAGAGGAAAAACUCGAAGAUGCAGUCAGUUGUAGGGCGAAGGUAACUGGUGAAGGAGAUGACAAAUAUUUGAUUGCUACUGCUGAACAGCCACUAUGUGCUUAUCAUCUAGAUGAUUGAAUCCAUCCUUCACACCUACCAAUAAGGUUAUAACUACUUCCAUGAAUGAUAG